AACGAACGCUGGCGGCAUGCCUAACACAUGCAAGUCGAACGAUCCCUCCGGGGAUUUUGGCGCACGGGUGCGGAACGCGGGGGAACCUGCCCUUAGGUUCGGAAUAACUCAGAGAAAUUUGAGCUAAUACCGGAGAAUCUCUUCGGACCAAAGAUUUAUGGCCUUUGGCUGGGCGCUCGUUGGAUUCGCUAGUUGGUGGGGUAAUGGCCUACCAAGGCGAGGAUCCAUAGCUGGUCUGUGAGCAUGAUUCGCCACGCUGGGGAUACGACACGGCCCAGAAUCCUACGCAACGGAGGAGAGGGGAAUAUUGGACGCUGGGCGAAGGCCUGAUCCAGCAAUGCCGGGUGAGUGAUGAAGGCCUUAGGGAUGUAAAGCUGUUUUAACCGGGAUGAUAGUGACGGUACCGGGUGAAUAAGCCCCGGCUAACUACGUG
rnacentral:rRNA from 1 species